UUCCACAGGAAAUAACAGUUCUGAAAGCUUCAAGAUAAAUUGUAUUUAAUUUUGAAAUACAAAUACAUUUAGAGUAAAAGCUUGAAGAAGUACUUGAAAGUGCAACCUUAGGUUAUUUUCAGCUAAGUAGCUGAAAGCCGUUAUUUUGUUUAAUUAUUUUUCUCAUGUUCACUACCCCAGGUAGCGGAGUAUAUAUAUGCUCCAAAUGGCAGUAGAAUUGAGUAGAUAAUAAAAUGGAAUACCUAGUUUACUUGACAACAUGCCUUUCAAGAUUACUAUUUUAGAUCUCCAAUAUCCAGAAGUUACUACUCAGUAACUGUGAAAGAAUUAUAUAUGUGUCAUAUGUCAUAUUUUGAAGUGUGCCUUUUUAACUGCUUCUACUGAGAACAUUGUCAUUUACCUGGAAGGGAACAAUGACAGAAGAAAGGAUUUCCAACUAAAAGCAAUUCUGAUCAAAGAUCAAAUAUCUUUCUAUUCUGAAGCCUGUUACCACCUAAAAUUACAGUUUGACUUGCCAAAUCCUGUGGGGUUUUUUUUGCUCCUCUGAUUUAUCAAGGACUGUCUCCAAAAUCAGUAUCUUUGAGCAAUCCAUUUUAUUUUCUGAGGUGCUGUCACCAUUGUAAAAGCAGUCUGAUCAGAGAAACUUUUCUCUCCCCAUCAGACUUUCUAGAAAUAAAAGACCUGCCUUCAAACAAGUGAAAAAUCUGAAAAAUUCUGAAAGAUACAAGCAGUUGAAACACGUAGGUUGGAAGGGAAACAUGAGAAAAAUUCCUAUGCCUACCAUGCUUAAUAGAGUGGAGGUUUUGAUAUAUUCUUAUCAUUGUACUAAUUACAUAACAAAAUAUUCUUAGCCAAACCUUAGCUUGUGUUCCCUAUGCCAUUUCAUAGUCAGGAUUUAUUUUAAGAGUGACUACAUAGCAUAGAUCACAGAAAUACAGAAUGCCAGCUGUUAGAGAAAGGGGCAUUUUACCAUGAUGAAAAGUCUGUCAGCACCGUUUCUGCCAAUGUUUGCAUUCAAAUAUUUUUAAGCAAGGACUUCAAAUGUAAAUGUACCAUGAAUAAUUAUGUGGCAGUUUACAUCAGUGCUAGUGCAACACUGACUAGGAAUGUGACAUAUUCCUAUUCCAAAUGUGCUUUUAGCUCUCGAAGUUUGCUUUGCAAUUGUGUGUAACAGACCUCCUUUUCCAAGAGGAGCCUAAAUUGAUAAAAGACUGCUGGGUGGUUGAGAAGUAUUUACAAGAUGGAUAAUUACCUACUGAUAUUAUCUCAGAUGCUCUUAUGUUGCACAGGAAGUGGAGAUAUUUCCCUUGUUAAGGACUGUGAAGCUGGGAGUGAGGAGGGGGUGUCUGCUUUUAACAGUAGAAGGAAGGACUGGUAGGAACAGCAGGUUCCUCAGAUGCAGAACAACAGUUUGUAAAUAGAAAAACCUAAAGUAACAGUGAACAGCUUCCUGAGAAGGGAGGGGACAGGAAGAGAGCACUGUGAAAAACACCAUAGGAAAGAACCACGUGUAAGAAGAUAAUGAGAGCAAAAACCAAGAAAGCAGCAGACCAUGAAAGCUGGGUCAGCUGAAAACUUUCCAUCCCAGCUGGUCACAGGGUGUUACUGAAGAAAAACCCUGCAGGCUGAGGACACUUGCCAGUGCCUUCAUGCUUUUCUUCCAGGUGGUACUGAGGGAGCACAUCACCGGCCCUUACACAGACAGUUGAUGAUCAGGAGAGGACAGUUACCAACAGGAAUCCACAGCUCACUAAACACUGCUCAGUGGUAUUGGGACCACUUAUGAUAGGGUACAAAUUAAUAUCCUACGGUCACCCUUAGCAGUGAAAAUGACAGAAGUUGCUUUUGUAGUGUAAUGGCUGACAAGCUUUGUCAGGAACAAGCAAAAUCUGGAGGACGUUCUUCAGCUUCCAUGGGCUCUGGACUGACAGUGCUAAUUGAUAACAGAGAACGGCAGAGACUCACCUGGCUGGCACAGUGUUUGUGGCACAUACCACAAUUUAAGAAUUAGCAAAAAGAAAGCCUGUGCUUUCUGUGACCUGCUAACACUGAACUGUAGUGUUCCUCUGCAUCUACAUGGAUGCCGUGUUCAUGUUACACCCAGUAAAAACUUCAUCCUAGUCUGGGAGAGAUAAAACUACACACAAGGAAAGAAAGGGUAAUGAGGAAAGCAAGGGAGAAGGAAGUUUAAAAAAGAAGCAUAAAGAGAAAAGGAAUCCAGCCUGUUAUAUAGCAACAAGAAGAAAUAUAUUUAAGGAAUUUUAAAAGACAAGUUGAAGAGUGAAAAAGCACUGCUGAAGAAAGGUAGUUCACCCAGAAGAAAAUACCUAUAAAAUGUUUUUACUUACUAAACCAUCUGGAUUACUACUCAGAAAUUCUUAUAUUUUAAUUUAAUUGAAAGGGAAAUGCUUAGAGAAAAUCAAAGCUUUUCCUCUAAGUGAUAUAAAAUAAUACUAGAUAAUUAAAAAUUAUGUUUUAUAAUAAAAUGUUCCUCCUAGCAGCCUCUUCUAACUGUUGGUGAUGGACUGUGGGACAAUGGUGUAUCAAUAACUUGAAUAUAUUCUGAUGUGACCCAUUUUUAAAGUAUAUAAUCACAACAUGUAUUUUUCUCCAGGCAGUAAAAUUUAUCCUCUGAUGAAUUCGCUAAAUUUAUUGAAGGAUUAGUUUAUUGAAGGAUCACUUCAGGAACUACUCUUACUGCUGAAAUUUAUGUAAACUAUUUGAGAGGUACAAAUGGGUAUCACAGCUACUAAUAUGGUUUUAUGUUAAAACAGUCACGUAGGGUGCCUGUUUCAGUCUAGGUAGCAGUUACAAUCUGCAUUAACCUUUUUGAAGACACUGUAAAAUAAAAAUAGAAUACUGUAAGGAUACGUAGAGCAGUGAAGGCUUCAUAAAACAUUAGACAUUUGCUGGGAUAAUUGGGGCCCACUUCCUCAUGGCUACCGAUCAGAAAUAUUAAUUGGAGACCCCAGUCCUUCCUGCCCCUCAGCUGCAGUGGCAAGGCAGUGUCAUGGGUGCAGAGGAGGAUCCUCACUGAUAAAAAGGAGACCUGCCAUGCCUGCAGCAUGAGCCUUUUUGAUCUCCAAGACAUACUGAGAAUAAUGCCUUUGUCCCCUCACUUCGUUUUACU